rnacentral:rRNA from 1 species
CCCCUAGAUGUUCUGGGCCGCACGCGCGCUACACUGAACAGUUCAACAAGUCUUAACCUUGGCCGAUAGGUCUGGGUAAUCUUUGAACGCUGUUCGUGAUUGGGAUAGACCUUUGCAAUUAUGGGUCUUCAACGAGGAAUUCCUAGUAAACGCAAGUCAUCAGCUUGCAUUGAUUACGUCCCUGCCCUUUGUACACACCGCCCGUCGCACCUACCGAUUGAAUGGUCCGGUGAAAUCUCGGGACGACGGCUUGGUCGCUUGCGUCCGACUGCUGAAACUUGAUUAAACCAUAUCAUUUAGAGGAAGGUGAAGUCGUAACA